AGCAGUAGCCGCGGUAAUACGGAGGGAGCUAGCGUUGUUCGGAAUUACUGGGCGUAAAGCGCACGUAGGCGGCUUUGUAAGUCAGAGGUGAAAGCCUGGAGCUCAACUCCAGAACUGCCUUUGAGACUGCAGAGCUAGAACGUCGGAGAGGUGAGUGGAAUUCCGAGUGUAGAGGUGAAAUUCGUAGAUAUUCGGAAGAACACCAGUGGCGAAGGCGGCUCACUGGACGACUGUUGACGCUGAGGUGCGAAAGCGUGGGGAGCAAACAGGAUUAGAUACCCGCGUAGUCCCUGUCUCUUAUAC
rnacentral:rRNA from 1 species